UACGGGGGGGGGUAAGCGUUGUUCGGAAUUACUGGGCGUAAAGGGCUCGUAGGCGGCCAACUAAGUCAGACGUGAAAUCCCUCGGCUUAACCGGGGAACUGCGUCUGAUACUGGAUGGCUUGAGUUCGGGAGAGGGAUGCGGAAUUCCAGGUGUAGCGGUGAAAUGCGUAGAUAUCUGGAGGAACACCGGUGGCGAAGGCGGCAUCCUGGACCGACACUGACGCUGAGGAGCGAAAGCCAGGGGAGCAAACGGG
rnacentral:rRNA from 1 species